AUGGCACGAUAUUGAAAGUUACGGCGGCGACGGAUUGGCUCGCGUCCGAUUAGCUUGUUGGCGGGGUAACGGCCCACCAAGGCUGCGAUCGGUAGGGGUUCUGAGAGGAAGGCCCCCCACAAUGGGACUGAGACACGGCCCAUACUCCUACGGGAGGCAGCAGUGAGGAAUAUUGGUCAAUGGGCGGAAGCCUGAACCAGCCAUGCCGCGUGCGGGAAGGAGGCCCUAUGGGCUGUGAACCGCUUUUGCCUGGGGGCAAUAAGGGCGUCGCGCACGUCCGAUGAGAGUACCAGGCGAAUAAGCAUCGGCUAACUCCGUGCCAGCAGCCGCGGUAAUACGGGGGAUGCGAGCGUUAUCCGGAUUCAUUGGGUUUAAAGGGUGCGUAGGCUGUGCGUCAAGUCGGGGGUGAAAUUCCGGUGCUCAACACCGGGGCUGCCCUUGAUACUGUCGCGCUGGAGUGCGGAUGCCGCCGGAGGAAUGAGUGGUGUAGCGGUGAAAUGCUUAGAUAUCACUCAGAACACCGAUUGCGAAGGCAUCUGGCGAAUCCGUAACUGACGCUGAGGCACGAAAGCGUGGGGAUAGAACAGGAUUAGAUACCCUGGUAUUCCACGCCGUAAACGAUGAUGGCUAACCGCCGGCGACACACUGUCGGUGGCCAAGCGAAAGCGAUAAGCAUCCCACCUGGGGAGUACGUCGGCAACGAUGAAACUCAAAGGAAUUGACGGGGGCCCGCACAAGCGGAGGAACAUGUGGUUUAAUUCGAUGAUACGCGAGGAACCUUACCCGGGCUCGAACGGCACCUGGAUCGCCCAGAGAUGGGCGAGUCUUCGGACAGGUGUCGAGGUGCUGCAUGGUUGUCGUCAGCUCGUGCCGUGAGGUGUCGGCUCAAGUGCCAUAACGAGCGCAACCCUUGCCGCCAGUUGCCAUCAGGUGAUGCUGGGCACUCUGGCGGGACUGCCACCGCAAGGUGUGAGGAGGGGGGGGAUGACGUCAAAUCAGCACGGCCCUUACGUCCGGGGCGACACACGUGUUACAAUGGCGGCCACAGAGGGAAGCUACCCCGCGAGGGGAUGCGGAUCUCGAAAAGCCGUCCCAGUUCGGACUGGAGUCUGCAACCCGACUCCACGAAGUUGGAUUCGCUAGUAAUCGCGCAUCAGCCAUGGCGCG
rnacentral:rRNA from 1 species